CCUACGGGUGGCAGCAGUGGGGAAUAUUGGACAAUGGGCGAAAGCCUGAUCCAGCCAUGCCGCGUGUGUGAAGAAGGCCUUCGGGUUGUAAAGCACUUUCAGUGGGGAAGAAAGCCUUGGGGCUAAUACCCUCGAGGAAGGACAUCACCCACAGAAGAAGCACCGGCUAACUCCGUGCCAGCAGCCGCGGUAAUACGGAGGGUGCGAGCGUUAAUCGGAAUUACUGGGCGUAAAGCGCGCGUAGGCGGUCUGAUAAGCCGGUUGUGAAAGCCCCGGGCUCAACCUGGGAACGGCAUCCGGAACUGUCAGGCUAGAGUGCAGGAGAGGAAGGUAGAAUUCCCGGUGUAGCGGUGAAAUGCGUAGAGAUCGGGAGGAAUACCAGUGGCGAAGGCGGCCUUCUGGACUGACACUGACGCUGAGGUGCGAAAGCGUGGGUAGCAAACAGGAUUAGAUACCCCGGAGUC
rnacentral:rRNA from 1 species